GAAGUUGCGCGGGAUGAAGUUGCGGGGAGCGCGGCCCCCCGCGCCGCUCCGCCAAGUUUCUUGCGGUCCCCGCCCGCGGAGCGGAGCCGCAGGUGCCCGCGGGCUGCAAAGUGUCCCCGGUGUCCCCGUGUCCCCUCCCCCGGGAGCGGGGGUGGCUCUGUAAUUGCAUUCCCAGCUGAUGUUUGGAGCCGGGCGCUGGGGAGGGCAGAGCCUCGGUAUUGAGCUGAUGGCUGCGCGUUAGCCCCGGGGGGAUGGCGGAGCGGGGCUGCCCGGAGCCCCGCCGAGCUCCCAUUGUUAUUCAGGGCCGGGGGUUUGCGGGGCCGAGGCCGGGGCUCGGUCAGCCCUGAAUGUCAGGGAAGGCGAUCGGCAUCAACCGGCUGCUGGCGGGUCCUGCGAACCGGCUCCGGUAAGGGCAGGCUGCCGGCGUUUGGGACUUGUGAUGGAUGCGGCGGGAGAGAGAUCCUUUGUGGCUCUGGGCAGGUCACGGAUGCCGUAUCCCGCCGUAGUGCCCUCGGUCUGUGAAAUUAACGAGAAUGCUUUAUAACCUUGUGGCCAAAGAAUUCAUGAUCGCCAGAUAUUUGAAGCUAAGCAAAAUUAUACCGGCUGUUACUGCUGGGAGAUCGAUACUGCCGGGAAGCGCGUGGGACCGUGAACUCCUGCUUGCAGACGGUGAGCUCCGGCUCGCAGCCUGUGUCCUGGCGUCAGCUGCUCCCAGGCGGUCCUGGCUGCAGAGCUCGGAUUUAGUUGUCAGGUGGGAGCUGGGGGUCCCGGGAUCGUGCUGGAGUCAUGCGCGGGUCCCAUCUUGGCAAUGCAGCCGCAUCAGAGCGCAGGAUUUGGCCCUGGUGGGAUGGAGCCAGCUCACCUGCAUGUUUCCUCUGCUGGACAUUGCAAAAAAAUAGCAGAAGUUUUCUGUCUGGCAGCGUUUGCCCCGAGACAAAGGCGCUGAAGUCCCUGGUGAGCCUCUGACCACCACCUUUGCUUGCAGUCGGGGGCCUUUGCUUUCGCCGGGGUGAUCUCAGCCGCGUGCUUUA